rfam:Ovis aries breed Texel chromosome 15, whole genome shotgun sequence.
UCCCUGGUGGCUCAGAGGGUAAAGUGUCUGAUUGCAAUGCAGGAGACCUGGGUUCAAUCCCUGGGUCGGGAA